rnacentral:rRNA from 1 species
AUGUAUAAAUAUCUAUCUAUCCAUGCGAGAAGGGCGCUGCGGGCAUUGAAAGGCCUGGUCAGACUCAAGUCUCUGGUCCAAGGCCACUCCGUCAAGCGCCAGGCCACCAGCACACAUCGCUGCAUGCAGACUCUGUCCCAGGUCCAGUCCAAGAUACGGACGAGGAGGAUCAAGAUGGCCGAGAAGAACCAGGCCCUUCAGCGCUAG